UUUUAAGUAGCCAAUAUAUUUUCUGCUGUGAAACUGCAUCACAGUUAAACUGGAAAAUAUCUCGACAUAAUGUCACAUUUCUUAUGAUAGACUGCGGGACAACAAUAAGUCAUUCACUCUUGGGGAGAGGCUCAGUGCAUCUUGAGGACACCUGCAUAUGAUGAAUCAUGUGCACAUUCGAGAGCCUCAAACCAACAAAGCACCAGAUGUUAAUCCAUCACGGUGUUAAUGUGUAACUGGAUAACUCCCAAGAUCAGUUUAGAACUGGCUGAGUUUUAGGGCAUCAUCAUGGGAAAGUCCUCCAGAUGCCCCCAAUUGCAGGAUUUGCUACAGACAGGGUUAGGUUUAACCCUAACCUUAACCCGAGGAAGGAAAGACUUUCAUCAGGUGGUCCAAACUAGGUUGGCAUGAGUGAAAUUAAGAGAGUGGGAACUCAUUUUCAGGAUGCCUGUUGUACUCCAGGGGAAGGAUGUGAGUGUGGCUCAUUGUUAAAGAUUAUAAACAUAAAUUCAAUGAUGCGAGACAGAGUCGACUAUAUUUCCAGUUCCAGUUACUUGACAUAUGAACUCAUAUUUCCUACAGUUUCUACAGUACGCUGAUGGACUCCCAUCUAGCUCAACACUCUGAGUUGAUCCAUGGAGUGGGUCAAGUGCUGUAAUUCCAUAUUGUUGUAGUAGUAGAAUAAUGCCACUCGAGAUUAUAUUCCUGGAGAAGCGAGCCAAGGUCAGCAGAAAUAGCAAGGACAUGGAGUGUGGCUGCUGCUUAUUAAUAUUUAUCGUGCCAUAUUGCAUUUCCUCUGCUUUCAACUGGAGGUUUCAUGAAAGUUCAGUCUCACACAGAGACCACUGUACUAGAACAAGACAUUGAGACUUUUGCAUCAGACCAAGAUCAUUGAAACUCCUGCUCAAGAUUUUGAGAUCACUGCAGUAGGCCAAGACUUUGACUUGGGGAGAUAUCAGAAAUAUAAGCAACUAGAGAUUCUCAUUCUAGCACAGUACAGGGGUUUCAAACCACUCUGUAUCUAGUGCAGUGGUCUCAAACUUUUGAAACCCCUACAUAUGACUAAAAUUUGAUCUCUUGAGACCCCUGCACCAGACCUUAAAGUCAUUGAGCAACACUAACUUUGGCUAUGUGGUGAGAUCUGUAGCAUACCAGUGUUAGUUGGUAAGCGUUGCACCUAAUCAAUAAAAAUAAAAGAUAACUAGACCAAAAUAUCCUGAACAAGACCAAGAGUUUGAUCUUUGUGUAGUGCAAUAAACAUCUCCGUCAAGUCGAUUCCCCUUCAUCCACAGAUGAACAUAAAGAAUCAGAAGUAGUGUGUUACACUAUGUAUAUUCUUGGUGUCAAGAAUCAACAGUCUUCACAUUAAUGCGUCACUCAUUUCUUGUCUUAGGAGGCUUAGGAUCUGAUUUACACUAUUGUAUACUUUAACGUCAUGUGAACAGAUGGUGUUGAGGCACAUCUGUACAUCAGCUCUGUAACUGUAAUUUAGAAUUUAGACAGGUGAGAUGCUUAUUUAUCGGCUAUCCAUAUCUUCUAUAAGCUAUCUUGUAUUGUAAACCAACAGGAGCUCUGCAGAAAGAGAGAGCUGUCUUUAUUUCCCUGCUAAGUCAUUAACCUUAGGACUCUUUUUUCACUGCUGCAGUGACCCAGUUUCUCCACACGGAUCAUUAAAGUUUAAUCUGAUCCAAUGUAUUAUAAUCUGAUCUAAUAUGAUGCCAAAUUUUGGCUUUGAUCUUCGUCUACCUAUCAUGUUUUCAGUGGAUCUUAAUAAGCUCUGAGCUGCUGGAGAUUUUAUCUUAACUGCAACUUUCAGACUGUCACUUUCCUAUUUUAAUGGCUGUACAAGUAUUAAAAUAUUAAAAUGGGCAGGUAGACAUGUUUUUCUAAGGAAGUCCUUCUGAUGAUGUUGACAAGAAGAAUUUUCCAAGCAACAGUUUGGACAGUCACUGGGCCUUUUGAGAAAUAACCAUCCUACUGGAAAUUUAUCAACAUCUUUAGAAGGUCUACUAUAAAAACUGGGAGUUAUAAUAUGAUUACAUUCAGCAUAUCCAGCUGCAUAAUUAUAUGAGCUGAGGAGUCAUCACAUGACCACAACUUGGCCAUUUCCUAACGCCAUCACAAAUGGGGGCAUAUAGGGGGCAGAUCAUAAUCCCCAUCUCGGUUCAAGACUGGCAUUUGGUAUCUGAUGUGCAUGCCGAAACUAAAAUGGGGGUUAUUAUUACACAGGUAUGUAAAGUACAGAGAUGUACAGAAGCUGUAAGCUGUUCCAAGAUGCUUGUCAUCGUGUAUUGUUCCUAAAGGUUAAAAAUGAGGCUGGGCCCUUAUUUACCUUAACUGCAGAGGGUACAAGGCCUGCAUUUGAAGCAGGUUUGUAUCAGAGACAGGCCUUUAUUUCUAAUUGAUCAUAUCGCAGUGUGAAGCCUCCCUGUAGCCGAUAUGCUCCUAUAUGCUGUGUUUUUCUUGCAUUGCAUUAUGCUGAGAAUGCAGAGCUUAUGCUGAAAGAUUAUCCAGUCUAUGUGGUCCAAAAGUUUUUUUGACUGCAGCAGAACUCAACAAACUGUUGAGUUCAAAUGACGACAUACAACAUGAAGCGAUAUAAGCAAUGAUGACACCACUGUAACUGAUAAUAGAUCCAAUGCAUCAUCUUGUUUCUGCCUCCAAAGUUGACCACCUGUAUGCCAAAUUUGCUUUCUAGGACCAUACAUGAACACGCUUGUGUCGGACUAAAGUAAUUCAUUCCUAGUAAAGCAGGUUCUUCAACAUUGAUGAAGAUUGCAUCAAUCUGUUCCAUAUUCCCCAGAUGCAUGCUUCAAAGAGCAUUUGCUUCGUUUUUGUGGUUUGUCUGAAGUGCUACCCAGCAAUGCAAAAAAAACAGCUGGCCUUGUGAACCUGCCCUCUCUCUGAUCUCCUCCACCUAUAAAUAAAGUAUCUGUGCGCAGUUGAGUGCCCGCUCCCUCUGGCAACUAGGGCAUUUUGUUCUGGGAUCUGUCAAGUAACGUUAAGAUCAACAUCAACACAGAGGCCCCCAGACCAGUUCACACACACACACAUACACACACAUACAAACAUCUCAUAACCAGUUAUUUCACAGGUCACCAUGCAGGUAAAGUGACAUUAACUAGAGAGUGAAACCAGCUCCAGGCACAGCCUCUGGAAGUUUGGUUGUUAAACCUGUUUAUUGCUGUGGUUAGAUGCCUUCAAGAAAAUUUUGCAAAGUGGCCUAUCGGUUUAAUAUUGGAUGGUUAAAGCUAAGCCAUCUAAAAUUUCUUGUCAUUCAUGAAAAACAUUAAAAACCACCUUUUUAGGUUGCUUCCCAAAUUUAUAUUUUUACAUUUACAUUUAGCUGACGCUUUUACAGGGAGCAAUUUGGGGUUCAAUAUCUUGCACAAGGACACUUGCAUGCAGACUGGGGGAGCCGGGGACGACCGGCUCUACCUCCUGAGCCACAGCCUCCCCCCAUUUUUUCCAUGUGUGUGAAGAUAGCAUGACAUUCCUCAUCAUUGGGUGUACGGGUGGGUGCCCUUACAGAUGGCUUGUUUGAGCACACAGGCGCCAUUCAGCCCGCUUCAGGUCCACCGAUGAACCCCAUCUCUGCCAAUUUUUAAGAUUAGCGGGGAGGUAGAAGAGGCAGGACUGCCAAAAUCGAGGUGGUGGCCAGAGCCACCACACUCUGAGCUUCGCAAAGUCUCUUCAGAAACGUCAUGUACAAGUCAUCCGUUGUUUGCACUGUCUAUGCUUCAAAAAUAAAAAAAGAGUUCAUUUAUUUUA